UAAUAAGAAGCGAAAAUCGCUACUGAUUUCGGCUCAGUCUUUGGUUAUCAUAACCCUUAUUUU
rnacentral:tRNA from 1 species